rnacentral:rRNA from 1 species
UACGGGGGGGGCAAGCGUUGUUCGGAAUUACUGGGCGUAAAGGGCGCGUAGGCGGUUCGCUAAGUUGGAUGUGAAAACUCUGGGCUCAACCCAGAGCCUGCAUCCAAAACUGGCGGGCUAGAGUUCUGGAGGGGGUAGCGGAAUUCCUGGUGUAGCGGUGAAAUGCGUAGAUAUCUGGAGGAAUACCGGUGGCGAAGGCGGCAUCCUGGACCGACAUUGACGCUGAGGAGCGAAAAGCUAGGGGAGCAAACGGG